AUUCCAGCUCCAAUAGCGUAUAUUAAAGUUGUUGCAGUUAAAAAGCUCGUAGUUGAAUUUUUGGUAAAGGUGGCCGACCUUCCACUUGGUGGAUUAUGAGGCAGCCUCUGCCUUCUUUGAGUCGAGUUGGGGUGGCAUUAAUUUGUUGCUCUUGCAAUUCUCAUCAUUUACUGUGAAGAAAUUAGAGUGUUCAAAGCAGGCGUAGACCGUGAAUACAUUASCAUGGAAUAAUAGAAUAGGACUUUGGUACUAUUUUGUUGGUUACAUAUCAAAGUAAUGAUUAAUAGGGACAGUUGGGGAUAUUCGUAUUUCAGUGUCAGAGGUGAAAUUCUUGGAUUUCUGAAAGACGAACUACUGCGAAAGCAUUCAUCAAGGAUGUUUUCAUUAAUCAAGAACGAAAGUUAGGGGAUCGAAG
rnacentral:rRNA from 1 species